UGACUGAGCGGCGGACGGGUGAGUAACGCGUGGGCAACCUGCCUCAUACAGGGGGAUAACAAUUAGAAAUGACUGCUAAUACCGCAUAAGCGCACAGGACCGCAUGGUGUAGUGUGAAAAACUCCGGUGGUAUGAGAUGGACCCGCGUCUGAUUAGGUAGUUGGUGGGGUAAAGGCCUACCAAGCCGACGAUCAGUAGCCGACCUGAGAGGGUGACCGGCCACAUUGGGACUGAGACACGGCCCAAACUCCUACGGGAGGCAGCAGUGGGAAUAUUGCACAAUGGGGGAAACCCUGAUGCAGCGACGCCGCGUGAAGGAAGAAGUAUUUCGGUAUGUAAACUUCUAUCAGCAGGGAAGAAGAUGACGGUACCUGAGUAAGAAGCACCGGCUAAAUACGUGCCAGCAGCCGCGGUAAUACGUAUGGUGCAAGCGUUAUCCGGAUUUACUGGGUGUAAAGGGAGCGUAGACGGAUAGGCAAGUCUGGAGUGAAAACCCAGGGCUCAACCCUGGGACUGCUUUGGAAACUGCAGAUCUGGAGUGCCGGAGAGGUAAGCGGAAUUCCUAGUGUAGCGGUGAAAUGCGUAGAUAUUAGGAGGAAC
rnacentral:rRNA from 1 species